AUGGUCACUAUCUGUUGUUUGGGAAGUAAAGAAAAGGCGAAAGAUGCCAUCUUUUACUCAUAAAAGGCGAAGAUGAUGAGGGCCAUUUCUUUGAUGAUUCGUCGACGACCACCGUCUCCUUGCGGUCUUCAAGUUUAAAGUCGACCCAACUUAAAAAAAAGGCCAUGGUGACGAACGCAAACCCCAACGGCGCCCUUCGAUGAUGACGACUAGG
rnacentral:lncRNA from 1 species